UACGUAGGGGGCGAGCGUUGUCCGGAUUCAUUGGGCGUAAAGCGCGCGUAGGCGGCCCCGCAAGUCGGCCGUGAAAUCUCCGGGCUCAACUCGGAGGGGUCGGGCGAGACUGCGGGGCUCGAGGUGGGCAGAGGGCAGUGGAAUUCCGGGUGUAGUGGUGGAAUGCGUAGAGAUCCGGAGGACCACCACUGGCGAAUUCUGCUGCCUGGGCCUUGCCUGACGCUGAGGCGCUCCAUCUUGGGGAGCGCUCCGG
rnacentral:rRNA from 1 species